AUGGCCAAGAGGCUGUCCAACGAGGAAGCAGCUGUGGCUGGCUGCGAGGACCGCCUAAGCACGCUCCCGGAAGAUGUAAUCCUGCGGCUGCUAUCGUUCCUGCCCUCACGGCAAGCCGUGCGGACGUGCGUGCUCGCCACCCGCUGGCGCACGCUCUGGAAGUCUGUGCCGGCCCUUCGUAUCGAUGAAACUGAGAAUGUUUUGAGCUGUCAGUCACUUGAAGUGUUAGAGAUGGAACUAUGUAUAAUCAGCAUCCGGACUAUCUUCCCAAAAUCGUUACGCCAUCUGAGAAUCAGACUUACAGAUGUUUAUCCCAAGGAUACCCGGCCUCUUAUUUCUGCACCAGGUCUGAUUACCUUGGAGCUAGCCAACUGUACGUAUUGGACUCCGUUGCCUAAGAACCUGCCAUCAUUGGUAACGGCAUUUAUCAACAUUGGCUCUGGCGGCAUGGAAUCUUGUCAAAAUAGUUUGAGUGGGGACUGUGGUUAUGUGUCGUGUGAGAAGUGCUAUGGUAUGGAUGACGAGUGUGUGUUUCUCGAAGGUUUGUCGGGUGCAACAAAUUUACAGCUGAUAAGUCCGUGCUCUAUGUGUAUCAGUCAAUGGAAGCAUAUU
rnacentral:rRNA from 1 species